UACGGAGGAUCCAAGCGUUAUCCGGAUUUAUUGGGUUUAAAGGGUGCGUAGGUGGCUUUUUUAAGUCAGGGGUGAAAGACGGUAGCUUAACUAUCGCAGUGCCUUUGAUACUGAAGAGCUUGAAUGAACUAGAGGUAGGCGGAAUGUGACAAGUAGCGGUGAAAUGCAUAGAUAUGUCACAGAACACCAAUUGCGAAGGCAGCUUACUAUGGUUUAAUUGACGCUGAGGCACGAAAGCGUGGGGAUCAAGCAGG
rnacentral:rRNA from 1 species